AAAACGACUCUCGGCAACGGAUAUCUCGGCUCUCGCAUCGAUGAAGAACGUAGCGANAUGCGAUACUUGGUGUGAAUUGCAGAAUCCCGUGAACCAUCGAGUCUUUGAACGCAAGUUGCGCCCCAAGCCUUUUGGCCGAGGGCACGUCUGCCUGGGUGUCACAA
rnacentral:rRNA from 1 species